CCUACGGGAGGCAGCAGUGAGGAAUAUUGGUCAAUGGACGGAAGUCUGAACCAGCCAUGCCGCGUGCAGGAAGACGGCUCUAUGAGUUGUAAACUGCUUUUGUACAAGGGUAAACCUGAAUACGUGUAUUCCGCUGAAAGUACUGUACGAAUAAGGAUCGGGUAACUCCGUGCCAGCAGCCGCGGUAAUACGGAGGAUCCAAGCGUUAUCCGGAUUUAUUGGGUUUAAAGGGUGCGUAGGCAGAUUGAUCAGUUAGAGGUGAAAUGUACGGGCUUAACUCGGGAACUGCCGCGAAUACUGUUGAGCUAGAGAGUAGGUGCGGUAGGAGGAAUGUAUGGUGUAGCGGUGAAAUGCUUAGAGAUCAUACAGAACACCGAUUGCGAAGGCAGCUUACCAAUCUAUAUCUGACGUUGAGGCACGAAAGCGUGGGGAGCAAACAGGAUUAGAUACCCCAGUAGUC
rnacentral:rRNA from 1 species